rnacentral:rRNA from 1 species
CCUGCGACAGGACGGAAAGACCCCAUGGAGCUUUACUGUAGCUUGACAUUGGGUCUUGGUACUACAUGUACAGGAUAGGUGGGAGGCUUUGAAACCAGGACGCCAGUUUUGGCGGAGCCAUCCUUGGGAUACCACCCUUGUAGUACUGGGACUCUAACCAUAGGCCAUGAAUCUGGUCUUGGGACACUGUCAGGUGGGCAGUUUGACUGGGGCGGUCGCCUCCCAAAAGGGAACGGAGGCGCUCAAAGGUUCUCUCAGUACGGUCGGAAAUCGUACGUAGAGUGUAAAGGCA